UAACACGUGGCUAACCUGCCUGUAAGACUGGGAUAACUCCGGGAAACCGGGGCUAAUACCGGAUGGUUGUCUGAACCGCAUGGUUCAGACAUAAAAGGUGGCUUCGGCUACCACUUACAGAUGGACCCGCGGCGCAUUAGCUAGUUGGUGAGGUAACGGCUCACCAAGGCGACGAUGCGUAGCCGACCUGAGAAGGUGAUCCGCCACACUGGGACUGAGACACGGCCCAGACUCCUACGGGAGGCAGCAGUAGGGAAUCUUCCGCAAUGGACGAAAGUCUGACGGAGCAACGCCGCGUGAGUGAUGAAGGUUUUCGGAUCGUAAAGCUCUGUUGUUAGGGAAGAACAAGUGCCGUUCAAAUAGGGCGGCAC
rnacentral:rRNA from 1 species